GAUGAACGCUGGCGGCGUGCCUAAUACAUGCAAGUCGAGCGAACCGACCAGGAGCUUGGUCCUCUGAGGGUAUCGCGGGACGGAUGAGUAACACGUGGAUAACCUACCUAUAAGACUGGGAUGACAUCGGGAAACCGGAUCUAAUACCGGAUAAUAUAUUGAACCGGAAUGUGCCAGAGUUGAAGAAGGUUGUUCUUACACUUAUAGAUUGAUCCGCGCAGGAUCAAUUAGUUGGUAAGGUAACGGCUUAGCAACGCAGCGAGGCGUAGCCGACCUGAGAGGGUGGUCGGCCACACUGGAACUGAGACACGGUCCAGACUCCUACGGGAGGCAGCAGUAGGGAAUCUUCCGCAAUGGGCGAAAGCCUGACGGAGCAACGCCGCGUGAGUGAUGAAGGUCUUCGGAUCGUAAAACUCUGUUAUUAGGGAAGAACAAAUGUGUAAGUAACUAUGCACGUCUUGACGGUACCUAAUCAGAAAGCCACGGCUAACUACGUG
rnacentral:rRNA from 1 species